rnacentral:lncRNA from 1 species
CCUAUACCAGCUCCACAGACACACAUAGGAAAAGAAAUAGGAAAAAAAUUUGGAUAUCAUCUCUCCCAUUUGUAACUCUAUGGCAAAGUUUGUCUGAUGAAAAAUAAUAACUACAGUAAUAAUAAGUUAAGGUUUGAUUAGAAAAGAUUUGAGUUAAAAAAUAUAUAACUAACAAAUCACACUAGUAAUUUCCAAAAAAGAGUAGGAGCAAUUACUUAUCAAAUAAUGGCCUUCUCAGUUGAGGUUGUUCCCCUUCAAAAUAUUCAAAAAUAAGUUCUGAUUCUCCAGAUAAUUGUAGGCUCGCCGAUUGUUCUGAAGACUUCUUCUUCUCAGACGCUAAAUGUUGCUCUGAACUAUGAAACUGAUUACAAACCCGCAGAACGCUUGUAUCAUCAGUACAGGGCUUGGGAAAAAGGAGUGAAAAUAUUGGAAGAUGACAAGUAGAGGGCUCCUUCACUUUUAUAUCGCUUACACAUGAAUUAAAUCCCAAAGGACCAGUAGCUGUUCCCACAUGAGUUUUACGGCUCUUAAAUAGUUGAACAGCUGAAAGAAAUGGGACAAAAUAUGCACGGAAUGCAGAGUUAACAGCACCAAAUCCAUUUGAAUUUUCCUGACCCUUGGCUUUUAUUUCUAAGCCAUAGCUGCCAUGUUUUUCAUACCAUUGCCACAGGCAACCCAAAGAAAUGUUGGUAGUCUCGUUGCUACAUGGUAUCACAUCACCAGGCAGAUUUCUUGGGCAAAUGUCACUGCUUGAAUUGGGUCUCUGGUCGAUAACAGGGGAGGAUAAAUGAAGGAAUCUUUCGAACUCUGCAAUUGGACAACCAGUUUCCAUUUGAAUAGCUUCAGAUGCCAAUUGCGCCCUACAUGCAUUAUUCACUGCUUGUUCCAUUCUAGACACAUCUUCACAUGAGGAUUUGCAAUUAAAAUGUUCAUCCACAUCGAACUCAGACUUAUGAUCCUGUAGUGUGGUUGUAUCAUAGCCAUACAUCUUCUGCACCCCACAUUCAUGUUCUAAAGGACCAUCAUCCCUAUCUCUAUAAUGCUGGAUCCCCUCAAUUACAUCAGAAACAGGAUUUAGUACGUUGCAAUUGACUCUUUCUUUAAUUGAUUUUUCCAAAGUGCCAAACUCAGCAGGCUGCGUAUUUGCAUCUCUCAGAGAUGAAAAAUCAGGUCUGGCCAAGGUGAUCGAUCUGGAACCUUCUGCUCCACUUGGCAACCAGUUCUGAAGAGGUGAUCUAGAUUGGGUGUCAUGCUUGCUGCGUUCAUCCAGGGAACUUCCUUUUGUUGCUUGAAAGAAAAGAUGAGGAAGGUAAACGGAAGACUUAACCUCUACUGGAUUUGACUGAUUUAAGGAGUUGCAUGACUUUGGCAAUGAGCUAGAGUCGUUCCCUACUUUUUGAAAAAAAAGAUGAGGAAGGUAAACAGGAGACUUAACCUCUACUGGAUUUGACUGAUUUGAGGAGUUGCAUGACUUUGGCAAUGAGCUAGAGUCAUUCUCUACUUUUUGACUGCUCAAACCAUCGUUGAUAAGUUUGUUUGAGAUCAAUUCAUCUAGAUGGACUUGUUUACUUUCAACUGAUUCAGAAUUUGUGCAUUUAUCAGUAGAAUCAUUUUGAAAACAAGAUCUUGGAUCGCCACUUGAUCUUCUUAUGUCAAAACCCAUAGAUCGAACAUCCAACUUUUCAUUUGGUGGUUUGUGAACCAUUGAACUUGUAUUACUACCACAACUAUUCCUUGUAGGACGAUAUAUCUUCUCUUGUCCUGAAGUAUUUUUUCUUUUCAACCUCCUGGGACAUUUUUCUUUCAGCUGUUUUUUGUUCCCCGUUUUUUUAUCCUUGACCUUUGGCAUUUGUACACCAACAACAGGAUUACAAAUGCCUUUAAACUGUUUGCUGAUAGGACUAACUUGGUCUAACUGUUCAGAACAUCCACCACUACUGCUUCUUUGAACCUUUUGCCAGACAGUAUGUCUGUUUUCCUUUCCCGUACGUCUUUGUGAACUCCCCAAACCACCAUAUCUAUUCAUCCUUGAACUCCCGGUCAAUUUUUUAUUUUGCUUAGUUUUCUUUCCAGGUAAAACUGAACAAGUUUCACUAACAGUACAUCCCCGAAUACCAAGAUUAGCUUUCUCCACUUCAGCAUUCAGAUCUACCUCAUCUCUUGCUGAGUUCUGAGAAGGAGAACUUCGUUCUUCCAACAGAUCAACUCCAAAACCUUGCUUUUCAUUUAAUUUUAAGUUCAGAUCAUCACAGUUACCGUUUAAACUAACCCACUUAGAAUCACGGGAAAUAUUAUCCAAAUAAUCCUUAGAGCAAAAAUCAUUGCAGCUGCCAGCAAUAAACCUCUCUCUUGAAUUUAGCCCCACAUCGACAUGGAUACAACCAGGCACGUUGAUUAGGGCCUGGUUUUCAGAUCCACAAACUUUAUAAUACCCACUGAAAUUCUUUAUUGCCAAAGAUGAAACCUUAGAUGAAUGUCCGUCAACAAUUUCAGAUGAUACUGAAUCCACAGUUCCAAGUGGCUGAAUCACAGAAUCUUGUUCAAAAUCUGGCAGAAAAGUUUCUUGUGCAAUCGAGCAUAAAACAGAUCUAUCUCUAAAAUCUGAAUCAUUACUGCCACAUGCUUCUGACAAAAAACUUGCACGGGCAGAAUCCUGGAGUGAUACUUCUGUUUCAGCAGAGACAAAAUCAGAAGAUAUAUUCUUACAUUCUAUUUCUUUCUUUUUUGCCUUCUUUCUUGGAUUUUUCUUCCCAUAUCUCUGCAUUUUAGCUCCAUCAACGGGAAUGUCAGAGAUUGCAAUAGAGUCACUUGACAUCAAAGCAGAGCCGGAGCAUGAACUUGUACAAGGGAACUUGCCAGAGGAUUGUUUUGGUGACUUAAUUGCUUUACUAUCCAGUAACUUUUUAUUGGACUCCAGCAGGCUUCUACAUCUGAGUGAAUUAAAUGAAUAUGUACCAUUGGAAGCAGGGCCUUUCUGCACCAAUUUUCUCCCAGCUGUAAACUGAUUCAUUUGAGGCAGGCAGCUCAGAUUCAAGCUAUCUAAGUAUUGUGGUGGUAGUGCAACAAUUCUCCAGAGUCCAUCAGAUUCGAGUGUAAGACAACUAAUGAUGGCACGUCUGGAAAAAGGAAACCAGGUAAAGAAAUAAUAAUCAAUAAUUUCUUCUCGUUGAAAUAAAGAGACAGAAAAAAGUCAUAGCUCAACAAUUGUAUGACUAAAACAUUACCUGUAAUCAAAAAAAUUUCUCCAUGCAAAAGAAGACACUUUAGAAUCCUGAAAGAAAUGAAGGAUGACGUUUAAAUAUAAAAUAUGCAAUCACAAUUUUAUGCAAACAAAACCAAAAUCAAAUAGAAUAAUUUUUUCUUAAAUUACGUACCGUACUUAUUCCCCUGGAACAACUGUUUUUCUCGAGUCUCAAUUCUAAUGACUCCUUUCCUUUGUCUAAAACUUUCUGAAAAUCACUACUUACAAGAGUACACUGCAUUGUUUUCUGUCAUAGUCAUCAACACGGUUCAAAAGAUAAGAAUUCUAGUGGAAUAUUUCCAAGGGCAACCAGUAAGGUUGUUAACAAAGUGCGGUUCAAAAAGGACUCCAGAAAAGGAAUAAUGGAAUAUGUAUUGAGAGUCUGAAAUAAUAAACUGAUUUUUAUUUUGACAUCACGGCACAUAAGUAUAGCACACCCACAAACAGAUAUGAAGAAAAAGAAAGAAAAACCUGAAGAAAUAUUUUCUUAAAUGUUCGUCAAAGUUUUCAUAUUGUAAUUUAAAGACAAUGCUUUGACAUGAUGACAAUCAUUAGAUCCGAACAAUACUAAUAAAUGUAAUAUCCGAAAAUCAUUAAAAUAUGAGAAUGAAAAUAUAAUUUGGGAUGGUGCCAAAAGAAAAAGAAGAUAGAAAGAGUGGCUUAAAAAAAUGACAACUUCCUUAUUGAGUAAAAGUAGAUUAAAAGAAAUUGAGAUAACAAGAAUCUUUGUUAAAUAAUAGUUCACAAUAUCUAAUCCAAUUGAACUUGGGUGUCAUCUUUUGACUACAACCAUAAUAUCCACUAUUUUGAAUAAUUUUGCUCAUGACUUGCCUCAACAAUUCUUGGGGAGGCUUUGCCCACCCAAAGUUAGCUUCCAACAAAAUUAAACCCAUGAAGUUGAUCAUGAUACCAUGAAAUUAGAACCUUAAUUAAUACAAUUCUUAUGUAACUACCAAAUACAGAAAGGCAGAUUCUAGCAAAACAAACAGCGCUAAUGUAGAAAAAUCAGAAAGCUCAGACUUCUUGAACGAAGAAACAAACAGAGUUUUGAUAAAGAGAAUAUUAAAGCCAUUUUUCUCCAGGAGAAUGUUGUUUAUUAAAACAAACGAAUAGCCAGAAACCCAAAGAAUAGACAUAAGGUACAUGCAUUAAGGGAGAAAACCCAGAUAGAAAAAACAACCUUUUCCUGAAAUGUUUUUCCCCAAUCAAUACAACAAAAAGCUGUAGCACACAAAACUUACCGAUCAAAAGAAACUCGUUCAACAACCAAAACUUCAAUGAAACAUUAUGAAAACAAGAUGAAGAAAAAGAAGAACAUAUACACGGUACGGCUCCAUUGAAAUUAAUCACCCAAUUAGAACCAUUGAGGAAGGCUAGUACUAAAUUUGACUAGACCCACAAAUAUCAAAGAGAAAUUGAAAACUCUCAAUUUAAGAACUAUACCAAUUUAGACACAAUCUUCACCCAAAUAUAGCCACAGGAUUCAGAUUACAGGGUAACAUACAAAAUCUACAACAAUCAACUAUUUGCCAAAAUUAGAAACGUUUCCUACCCUGUCAUCUCUAAUUCAAAAUAGAGAAACAAAGUAGACAGAUUAAGAUAGAAUAGAUUAUAUAUCGACUCUUUUAGGAAAAAAAGCAUACAAUGAUUUCUAGUUACUUUUCUAUAAAAGGAGCGCGAAAAUUGGAUAGUCAAGCCAUUUCACUACACACAAAUCAGAGAAAGUCAGUGAGUGAUCGAUUAGCUAAGAGAAGUAGAAGGAAACUGACCCAUUUCCAUUGGCGGGAGAGAAUCGAAGGAAUUACAAGGAGAAAAGCUUGUUCUUCAAGUGGACAAUAGCGUUUAUCUUUUUCUCUCUAUCGGAAUUUUGCUAGUGGCUUGCUUGAAAGGACCUGCGGCUGAUAUAAGCAAGUAUUUUUUGGUUUGUAUCUGACGAUUACGCUUUUCUUCAUUUUAUGACGGUCACUCUCUAUUAAGUAAAUACUUCGUAUUGUAUUUUAAAUUGGAAAACAUUCAAAAUUAUUUAUAAAUGUGAUAAAAUAGCCAAAUGCAAUAGAUAAUAAAAUAACUUGAUAGAUUAGUACAUGUGUUGAUAGAUUAUUACAUACCAUCUACUCUAUUAUAUUUUGUAAAUAUUUUGAUUUAUUUUAAGAAGAUCGUCAAAAUAGUGAAUUUGAUAAAAUACUUACAAGCUAUAUCAAAAUUUCAUAUUGUAUCAAUAACAAAUAUUUGAUAGAUAUCGAUAUUCUUUUAUUAAUGACAUUAAUAAAUCGUGAUAGAAGUCUGACAGUUUCUAUCGGUGAUAUAAUCAAAAAAUUUGCAGUUGUAAAUAUUUUAAUUUAUUUUGCUAUUUAAAAAAAAUGUCCAUUCAUUUUAGUAUAUUUGAAAAUAAUCCUUUUAUAUUGGUAUUUAUUCUUUUGGAAUUAAAUCUAAUAAGUUCCAAAAUAUUACAUUUUUUUAAAGUUUGAAACAUGAUAUUUUUUCUUGUUUUUCUUUUUUUUAAUUGAUAUAAUUUUACCAAUUUAAGCUUGGUUUCAAAUUCAUUCAUAGAUUUCAACAUUUACAUCUUAAUUCCAUUUUUUUUAUUAAAUGCUCAUAUUUUGUCUUUGACCAUAUUGAUCGAUUUCAGAUAAUUGUGAAAUUAUAUUUUAAAAACCAAAAAUAGAUAUUUCGUAAAAAAUUAAAAUAAUCUUAAAAUAUUUUAAAAACCAAAAAUAGAUAUUUCGUAAAAAAUUAAAAUAAUCUUAAAACAUAUGGACCAAAUUGAUUCAGAAGUCAAAUUUCAUUAGAAUAAUUGUAACAUUUUAAAAUUUGAGGACUAAAUUGACAUAAAAACAAGAUGGUCGUACAAGCAUUGACUCAUCAAGUGAUAGUCACUCUAAAACUCUCGAUACACAAAAUAUAAGGACCAGCCCAUGUUGAUAGAGCUCGAGAAAGUGUUGUACUUCAGUAAAAUAAAUUUGACAAUUCACAAUGAUUAGUAAUGACUUUUAAUUACUGAAGAAGUUAAUUAGCAAAUAAUUGUUAUGAAGCUUAUUUCUAUACAAUCAUGGAGACUCACAAAAUUCGAGGUAAGUUGGUGAUGGCCAAACACUAAAUUGAUGUAAGUUUCUUUAUUUUACAAGACUUUGUUUGAUUCUCUUCCAAAAAUUACAAAUUCAAAGUUAGUACCAAAAUUCUAUAUCAAAACACUAAUUUUAAAUUAUAAUAAAAUUAUGCCUACUUCAAAAUUGUAACAUAUGUUUAAUAAAAUUCCAUAAAUUUUAGAUAUUGAUACAAUAUUGAAAUUUGAUUUUUAAGUAUUAACUUGCCUUCUCGUUUCCUCCUCAAAAAAAAGUAUUAACUUGCUUUCAUGGCAAGGAGAAAUUUCUAGCAAACAAACUCGAGCUCAUGCUUUUUGUUUACUAUUUUGUUGAAGGGUGUGGAAAUGAUGAUUUUGACAAGAACGAUAGCUUCAAUUGCUAAGAAAGUCAUGACGUCUCAAAAUAAUUCACUAUUAAAAAAGAACUAUUCAAUUUAUGAUAUAUAUAUAUAUAUAUAUAUAUAUAUACAUACUAAAUCUAUGUUUAUUAUUAUUUGGAGUCUAAAGUUAUAUUGGAAUUAAAGGAAAAAAGAAGAAAAAAAAAUUGAUUGCACUAGAUUGAACCCAUAUUAAAGAGUUCUAAAGAUUUAAAGAAAGAAAUGUUUAAAAUUAAACAAUCAUGAAUAUAUCAUAGAAAUUUUCAAUUAAAAAUCUAAAGACAUCCUUAUUCAUUUAGGAGGUGAUCAAACUCAAACAAAGUUAAAUAAUUUAUUUUUUGUUUGUAUGUUUUUCACUAUGAAAAAGAAAUUUAAUAAGAAAAGAGAAACCUCAUCUGCACUAUGCUAAGAGAGGGAGGGAUUGCAGAUAGAACAGGAACAAAUAAACUGAUUUUCUGUAUCUGCUUAUCAUUUUUCAUGGCAAAAUCCACAGGCCCAGAGAAAACAAGUACAAGAUCAGUUGGAAUACGAAUCAAAUGCUGAUAUGGAAAUGCAAAACUGAACCAUCCAGUCUAUCAAGAGAUAAACCAUUCAUUCAUAUUAUCAGUUGGAUAUGGAGUUAGCACAAGGGGAUAAUGGCAUUUGAAACGAAAAAUAUUUAAUCAUAGAGUAGCAGCAUUAUCAACAUGUUUGUACUACAGCAAGUCCUUAAUCCAUAUCGAGUAUUGUUUUUGUUUUCCUAAAAGAAACUUACAAAAUAUUCAUGAUACUAGUAGAAGUCCAUUGCAAGAAUAAGCAUUUCAGCGGGCCUCGUACUGAACAACUGCAGUAAUAGGCAAGAAUUGGAUUGGACUUCAAAUUUGGAAGAAGCAAAUAAAUAUCAAGGACACAGAAAGUAAUGCAAAUUGACCCAUAUAACAAAAAUAUUGAAAAAACUAAACUAAGAGAAUAGACUCCAAUAACAUCCAUAAAGAGAGAAUCUAAACUUAAUCUCAAGACUUAUAGUAAGAGAGCAUUCCAAGUCAUAUAAGAUUACAAGGAUACCCCAAGAAACAAAUUUUUCAGUCAAUUAUCGACUUAGGUCAAGUAUAAUAGAUUCUGCUGAAAUACAUCCUGUUGUGACAGUAUAUUACCCAAACUACAACCAUCCUGCCAAUUAACAGUUGGAUAUAUGUGCAAUCUAUAAACUUCAGAACAAACUAAGUCAAUAAAAUAGUUGUUUUAGAUUACCCAUUACUCAGAAUCUUCAAAUGAAUUACAAAGAAGGUAAAUAAGAUUUAACCAGGAAGAAAACAGCAUUGAGUAUGGAUGUUAUAGAGUGGAUCAAAUGAUUUUCAAACAGAAAAAAAUAAGUGAAAACGUAGCCGAUCAUUCAACUCGUGCAAAGUAGUGAAGUGGAUAUAGAGUUCUCGACACAAGAAGAUGAUUUUGAUAGAGUUAAAGUCAGUUUUGGUGAGCUCAAAAUCACUCCAAAACAAGUCUUUUAUAGUUCAAGAUCAAUUUACCUUUUGAUUUAAUUCUUUUAAAUGUGACUUUCAAACAGUCAAGUUGAUUUUGGUUGAGCAAAACAUGUUUUGGAGUGAUCUACGAAGAUGAUAAAGUGAUUACAACCAUUUUAAAACCUCCCAACCAUGCCUAUAUGCAAAACCAGCCAAAGCCGCCAGUCUCAGAGUUUGACCCGCAUGUGUGACACUUCUUCAAUAUCUACUCAUACCAAAUAGCUCAUCUAUGUUUCUUGUUCCAUAUAAGAUUUAUAAUCAAACAUAUGAAAAUCUAAGACAACUUAUUUGAUGAGAUUCAAAAUUCCAAUCAUCUUUAACAGAAUGUUCAAUUGACAGACGACAUAUUCAUGAACAAAAUAAUAAUAACAAUAAUAACCACCAAAAUCAGAAGAAGUAUAUCUUACUGCGACGGGUGCGCUUCUUGUAGAGAAUACGAUAACCACACUCCCGGCACUGUAUAACAUCACCCUGCUUCAGAGUGUUCUCCAUUCCACAAUCUACACAAAUUUUACAUCUCUCAAUUCCCAAACAUAGUCAUAUAUAUACGCGUAUAUUUAGAGCAAUUAUUCUAACCAAGAAACUUCUAAAUUCCCAGUCUUAAUAUAAUCAAAGUAACUAGAUACUUGUUAAAAGAUGCAUCCGAUAACAUAACUAAAGAACCUAAAUAAUCGGGAGAUAUUCAAUCCCGAAAUCCGUAAAAACACAACAAGUAUACCUCCACAGAUGUAGCUGACUGGCUCGGGUUGAGGAUCCAUGAGUCAAGCUUCAAAAAUCUUCCUGCAAACCAAUUAUUGCACACACAAGUAAGAAACAAGCAUCAACGGAACAAUGAGAAUAAAGAAAAAUGGGGGUGAGAAUGUGCCGACGACCGGCGACCGCGAUGGCGGAAGGAUAGGAGAGAAAAAACAAUCGGCGCGUACCUACCGCUGCAAGGACGAUACGAAUAAUGAUGGGUGAGGGAAAAAUCAAACAAAAAUAAAAGGGAGGAGAAGGUGUAGUAGGGUUUUUCCCUUCUUUUUUAUGUUAAAAUAACUUUUUGGUUCUUAUAUUAAUUUUAGUCAAAGGUGAGGAAGAGGAGACGAAGACGAAGACGAAGACGAAAGAGAAUGAGAGGAUGCGAGAUGAGAGAGACGGAGGGAAGGGGGCUCGUCGUUGGUUUAAAAAUAAAUCACAAACCCUAAACUAAACGUAUAUAUUCUUUUACUUAAUUUUCAUAAAUGUAACAAAAUAAAAAUUUAAAUAUUCCACUUUGUCAUAGCCUUUUUCUUUUCAUCUUGAUUGCAUAGUUAUUUAAAGAUAGUAUAAAUCUAAACGUAUCAAAUAUUUGAUAUUGAUAUGUUUAAAUUUGGGUAGAGAUUGUGUAAUAAUAGUUGGAAUCACAUAGUUCAAAAGGUAAUAUUUUUUUAAUAAAUGAAAGUAUAUAUUAAAUUUAGUUCGAUUUCAAUAGUGGUUUUCAAAAUAGAAACCGAACCGUUUAAAUUCAAUUUAAAACCUUUUGAUUUUGCACAUAAAUCGAUUCAAUUUUAACAAUAGACUCGGUUUCUAUCGUUCUUUUGCCCAUCCCUAAAAUAAUUUGUUCUAUGAAGUUGCAUAGUUUGCCAAAUUUUUAUAUUUGUAAGGAAAUCACUUUAAAAAAUACAAGGCAAAUGUCAAUUGACAUGAUUAAACUUGGGUUACCCCAAUUUAAACCAUAGAUUAAUAAUUAUAUUAAUUUAAAAUUUAAACUAUAUAUUUUAAUCGGUUUAUACUCUAAACUUCUAUAAAUGCACUCAUUUAAACCCUCAACUUUCAUACAUAUUUGACAAAAGUUCUAUAAAUCCUUGAUUAUAAUAUUUAGAAAAAUAUGGCACUAACUAUAAAGAUAUUUUCUCUUUUUUUACUAUAUAAUAUAGAACUAUUUUCAAAUAUAAUAAAAUAAAGCAAAUAUUUAUAAAAUAUCACAAUUUUAUGUAUAGUACAUUUGUCUAUAUAAAUUAUAGAUUACUAUGAAACUAUGAAAGGAAAAUUGCAUUAGUUAAUAAAAAAGUUUAGAAAAAACAGCUCAUAAUAUUUGUUUUUUGCACAUUACAAAUUUGAUAAAUAUGAUUAGUAAAUAUGGCAAUCAGACCACUUUUAAAUUUACUAUUUUUACAAUUUAGAAAAUGUAGAUAACAUGAACUUUUAUGGUUUGCUAUUUUUGCGAACUCCGCUCCUAAAAUGAAUAAACUAUUUACACAAAAUGUAACAGUGUAAAUAAUUUGUAUUUAAAAAAAAAAACACUUUGUAUGUGUAAAUAUUUUUUUUAUAGUUUGUCUACUUCCAUGUAUUAAGGGCAAAAUAACUAAUCAAUUAAUGUAUUAUUAUUUUGAAAUAAUCAAACUUAGUAUUAAUGUAUUUACUAAAUCGUUUCCCGGGUGACCCACUCCUUCCUUGUCCUCUUGCUUCUGCGCUAUUUUCCUCCCUUAACCUUUUCUAUACAUCAAAUUUGGAUCUAUCAACUUCAACAUGAAUUUUCUUUUAUCACAAAACAAGAAAAGAAAAUGUUGUUCAAAGUUGAUGAAGUUGCUUAGGAACUUUCUGCUUCCGCGUUAUUAUUUUAACUCCACUUGUUCCAUGAUCUUCUUCCAAUUUUCUCUUUCCAUAAAAUAGAAUUUCCUACUCACAAAUUCUCCCGUUUCUUUCGAUGGAAGUUACGAUUCAAAGGUAGAGUUGAUUCCAUAAAUUACAGAUUGAUUUCCAAUCUCUUUGUCCGGUUGAUCGUCCUUCCGUCGGAAGGCGAUUCCGGCCACUGUUCAGAAUUUCGUAGCUUUCGUUGUUCGAAGCCCUAUGAUGAAAUCUUUCGACAAAACGCCGGAUAGGAACUCGUCUUUUUCUGAACCUGUCAGCUCAAUCCACAGUCCUCUUUAUUCCGAUGGCUCUCCUUCUUCUUCCGGUAAUAAUCAUUCUUCUCUCGAUCUUGGCGCCGUUCUGUUCAUCUAAGAUUGAUGGGGUAGUCAUUUUUUGCAGGUAACAAUAAUUCAAAAUCAGGGCGUAAGAAACAAUUAAUCAGGAAACGAGGUGGAUUUGUAUUUCGGGUAUACGAGCAUGGUAAGGAUCGAUAGUUUUUGCUGUAGAAAUGUAUUGAACACUACCUGUUUGUGGAAAUGCCAUCUGAAAUUUAUCACAAUAUGAUAUGAUGGAAUGAGGGUAAUCUUGUGUUUGUGUGAAAUCUGUAGUUAAGUUGGGGCCUAAAUUCUUGGUAACUGCUAAAGGUAAAUUGAGAUUAGGGGCAAAAAUAAUACAACAAGGUGGCAGAAAGAACAUAUUCAAACAGGUUUUUGGAAUUGUAGAAGGAGAGCAGCUUUUGAAGGCCUCUCAAUGCUACUUAUCAACAAGUGCAGGGCCCAUUGCUGGGCUUCUUUUCAUAUCUACAGAGAAAGUUGCUUUCUGCAGUGAGCAAAGUAUCACUUUCUCUUCACCAACUGGUGAAUUGCUCAAAACACCUUAUAAGGUAAUCUCUUUGCACUUAAGCAUUCGACUCAGGGUCAGAAAGAUGUAAAACAUUUAUUCUGCUAGACACGUAGUAGAUUGCACACAAGUCAUGUUUGAUUGAUUUGAUUGAUUUGAUUUGACCAUAUAUAUAACAUAAAGUUCUGAUUUUCAGAAAAUGGAAGUCAAAGAUUUUAGGUGUAGAAUGGAAGAUACACACAUAGAUACUGACAAUUUUGGCUGGUCUUUUUAUAUAAAAGAUCACCAACUUUUCGUUGGGAGAAAGUGAUUGAACUAACUGAAAAGUGUCUAGGUGAAAGCUAUGAUGUAACUAUCCAUAUGUGCUUAGUUCUUAUCGAGAAUUUUGUUCAGGCUUGGGAUCUAGGACCAAGAUCGUAAUUUCGAACUAUCUAAUCUGUGAAAGUUUAAACACCAUGCGAUUCAAAACUUCCAUGAGAUGCAUAAUAUUACAAGCUAACCUUUUAAGAUAUAUAAUACUUCCAAAUUAAAGGGGUAUAUUAAGACCCCUGCUUUGCAGUUUGAUGACUUUCCCCCCUUACAUAAAGGUGUGUUUAAAUAAAGUUCUUUCUUGAGAAUAAUUUAAAACUCCACAAUCUUUCUUUGUAUUAAAAGCAAAAAGGAAAAAGAGUUUAACUUUCAAAAAGCUGAGAAGGAUCUCUCUAGCACUAAACUACUACUUUUCCCAACCUGUUAGGGCAUGUUUACUCUUGUUAGGCCCAAAGUCAAUAAAAAAAAUGCAUGACGAAAGUGACCUUAGUCAUUAAAAAAUACUUCCAAACAUGCAAUUCAUACCUGCUAAAGAUCAUACCCUUUGAAAAUGACAGUGGUGUGUGAUUUUCUACAGGUUUUGAUACCAUUAAAGAAGAUCAGAAAAGCCAAUCAAAGUGAGAAUGUCAAUGAUCCAGCAAAAAAGUACAUCGAAGUGGUGACAGAUGACAACUUUGAUUUCUGGUUUAUGGGAUUUUUGAGAUAUGAAAAGGCAUUUACAAAUCUUCAGAAGGCCAUUUCCAUGGCUAACAAUUCAAUGCAACAGUUCACAGAUAUAUCAUGAAACUAACCAAUUCUGGCCGAAGAAGGUGUUGCUUUUCCUUCCCAUUCAUAGGAGUGAGUGCUUUUUGAACUUAGGAAUUUGAUAGGUAUUUCACAUACUCACAUCUUGGAGUGUUUCUAAUGAAUGUAUUGCUCUAUAUUUUGUAUGUAUAUCUGAUGACUGUUGUUUAAGUUUAGUUUUCCCACAUCCCUGUGCAUCGAAGUGGGCUUGAUUGAAAUAUGUAAAAUAUCUUAUUUGCUCCUAAAUUGUAUUUUACUCGAACUCAUCAGGUACUUUUGUUAUUUUCUUUUGAUUUUUCAUCUUGUUCUCUCGUUAAUCUCUAGCAGAUUUAGCAUGAACCUCAAGACUCGAACUCUCCCAAUCUUAUCUUAUUUAUAUAAUAUAUAAAGGAAAAACCAAUAUGAUACCGAUCAAUAUAAUUUUUUAGUCUUCAAUAUAUACAUUUAUAACAUAAAUUUUAACUUCCAACAAUGGUUUGUUUUUUUAGCUAGUACCUAAAAUGUAUUAUUGAGUCUAUAUAUAUUUAUGUUAGAUCCACAAAUAGGUUGUAGAUUAAACUUUCAUAAUCAUUUAUGUAUUUAACUAAUCUUGAGUUUAACAAAGCUAUGUAUCCGUUCUUUCUAAUAUUCUUCCCACAUUUGUUGGGUCAUUUUGAAAUAUGCUCUCUUAAGGAUCUAAUGUCUCCGCUCGUAAAAUUAGAAAGGGUUAGACUUGCUUUUGUUUUCAAAACCACUAAAAAAAUGCUUUCAAUAAUUUGGAUUUAAAUAAGUAAUAUAAUUAUCUAAUGGUUUUCUCUAAUACUUUAUCAAAUGAAAUAAAAUAAGUUUUUUAUUUAAAAAUUAAAAUGUUUUAAAUGAUUAUCUUAAAACAAACAACUUUUAAAUAGGUGUAUAAGAAUUUCAACAUCAAAUCUCACAGCAUACAUAUAUACUAAUUAACAUGUUUACCAAACCGUAAUGAAAAGUUAUGCCAUCAUAAAAGAAUUUCAUUGUUAAAUCAAUUAAAUUGCUUUCAAUCUUUUUUUACUUAGAGUUAUAAAUAUGUCACAAUUAUUAUUAGUAUUAUCUUUACCACUUAACAUAAACGAGAGGAUUUAUCUAUUACCACUAGCUUUGUCAUUAAGAAUAACAAUAACGGUAACUAUAACGAUAAAAGUAAUGCUAACAACUUGUAGAUUCAAAUCGUAAUAGACCCCACAUCUCAUUACUUUAAACCAACUAUAAUUCAAACAAAGUCCAUUUUUCAAUUUAGCAUCCAUUUAUUACGUAUACCCAAUUUUUUUUUAGAUCUUGAGUAAACUCAUACUCAAUUAAUGCAAAUCGAACACAAAAAUUUUGAUUUCAUUUAUUUUUUCUUUAAAACAAAUGGCAAUAAUAAUAAGAUAAUUGCAUUAGAUGAGAAAUUUUUUUUAGAAAAAACAAUUUAUAACAUAUUUUAUAAUUAUUUUUAUUUUCCUAUUUUUACAAACUUGUUGUGAUUAGGAAAAGAAAGAUACUUUCAGUGAACGGGAACAACCGUUUAUAGAAAAACAAUCCAAUAGAGUAUUUUAUUCUUCUAAUAAUAAACAAGCAAUAACCAUAUCUUUUAUUUAAUUAAGAUAAAACACUUAUACAUGAAUUAAACACAAACUAUUUCACAAACUCAUUCACUUUAAUCUUUCAAUUAAACUUUCUUGAACAUAACAGGGAAUGGCGUAUCGCUCAAAGCCAAAGCCCUUUCUCCAUUCUUGAAGAAGAUUCCAAUAUCUCUACACAUAACUUUACAGAAAUUACAAACAGUCGGACAGAACACCAAUUUGUAAUCCUUACCAUGCUUCUCAAUUUUGAACCAGUUAUCCACCGUCUCCACUCCCGGAUUUCCCCUGCUUCCGCCGAUCGUCACCAACCAUUGUCCUGUCGAUUCAUCGAAUUUGUCCAAUUUCCACACCGUCGAUGUCACGCAGAUCGUACUCGCCUCGAAUUGUACAUUCAAAUCGGUUGAAACUCGGACCACUCCCUUUUUAGGGUUUACAGGAUGAAAUGUUGUUGGAAAUCCGUUCAUUACUUCGAGUUGUUCUUGAACGACGUUGAGUGGACAUUUCUCCGAUUGGAGGUUGCCUAGGGUUAGGCCGCCGCCUCUGCCGCGGAAAACGGGGAGGAUGUAGUAGUUGACGCCGGCUCGGAGCUUCUUGCCGUCGAUGUCGAGGACGGCCUCCGGCGAAGCGUCGGCUGUGGAGAAGCGAAUCAGCUGGGUUGAGGCAAGGAGAAUGAAAAGAAAAUAGAAUAAUAUUCCGAAAUUCUUCAUUUUAUUUAUUAACAAUGUGGACUUUCUUUUGUUGGGUUGCUUAAUUCGAUAGGGAAAGGUUUUGUAUUUAUAGCGUAGAGGAGAGCGAGAGUCGAAAUUGCUCACUAUUUUCUCUCCUUCUAUUAGAUCAAAUGCAUCAUUUUCCAACUUGCCGCCAUGACGUGGCAGUACGUUUGCAUGGGUUUCAUAUUAGAUUGUUGAAUAUUGAUGUCUUAAUAAUUAUUUAAUAUGGACUAAGACUUAUUUAGUUGAUAAUCCAAAUUUUAUUUCAUGUUUAGUGAGUUUUAGCAAAUUCAAUAGUAAAACCUUUUUUUAUUAUUAUGUUUUUAUUAUAUUUAGAUUUAAAGUAUCAAACUACAAAAUUUAUAAUUAUAUUAAAUAAAGAUUAAGAAAAAAUUAAAAGUAUAAUAUGUUAUCAAGUUAUAAACUCAAUUACUCCAAAAAAAAUUAAAAUAUACAUUAUAAAUUAUAUAGUAUUACAAAAUAAUUACCAUACAAAAAAUAAAUCAAUAAUGGUUUAUUCUCAAAUAAUAUUUAAUGGGUAACUAUAGCUACUUUUCCAAAUAAUUGUUUAACUUAUGAUUAAAAUUAAUCUUUUAUUAACAUAAAAUAAAACUUUGUUUUUAUUCAAUCUUUCGUUUAUUUUUACAAUUUUUUUCAUAAUCUAAAAAAAUAUGCUGAUUGGAAAAGAAAGAAAAAGUUUUUUUUGGUAAUAUAUUAUGAUCUAAAAUGUUGGGGUGUUACAUUAUGCUCAAAGUUGGUCACAUGCAACUCUAUUGAAUUCCAAAAUCGUUAUUAAAUUUUUUAAAAUUUCAAAAUCAAUUAAUUUUUCAAUUUUCCACAUUGAAUUAACUACAACAAAAGUAAUGAAUUGUUUUUCCAGUUCUUAAUAUAUCUAUGCCUAGAUAUAUACUAAGAAAAUAGUGAGAAAUAACUCAAAUUUUUAUCUUAUAAAAUUAGUAUUUUCUUUUUCAACUUAUAUGCUUGAUCAUUUUUGGUGCAUCUAGGUAGUGUACAUUUAUUCAAAUCUUCCCAAAUAUUAAAAGUGUAUAUAUAUUAAGCCUACUGUGUUAUAAGAUAAACAUGUGAGAUUGGAUAAAGUUUGUAAAGUCAAACUAUUAAACUUCAUGUGAUUGUAUUCAAUAUAUAAUAUCUCUUUGAAUAUUGAGAAUUGUUGACUGUGAUUCAAAGAGCCUUUUUUUAAAUUAUAUUUCUGUGAAUUUAAAAAUAAAUUAAAUACAAAUCUGUGAACCAAAGGCUUUUAAUUUUCCUUCUUCUCUACGUUUAUUGAAAUAAAUUAAAUUUCCGACGACUUCUUUUUCCCUUAUUUUUAAAAACCAUAUUAGUUUGAAAAAUGAGAUACAAUCUUAUAUUUAAUAGUUUAUCCAUUCUGAUGAGAUAGAUAACUUCACAAUUAUAUAUAUAUAUAUAAAAAGUUUUAUAUUUAAUAGUUUAUCCAAUAUUUUUAAGAUAGAAUACUUGACAAAUAGACCAAAAAAAAUUAAACCACUAACCAAACUAUAGACGACUAGAUAAAGAUUUUAGAGACUUCAAUUAGUUGGUCAAAUUGUACGUUUUUAUAGUCAUAUUGGUUUGAACAUUUACUAAAUCGAUCAUAAUCGAUUAUUGCGAUGGUUUGAUUCAAAAUUCAUUACCGAUGUUUGAAUUUAAGAGUAAAAUUGUACAUUUUAUAAUUGUUUUAAGUCUAUAUGAGAAUUUGUAAUAUAAUGCUUGGUCAUAUAUUCUUCCUUUGAAAAAAAAUAAUUGAGUGAAUUUAAAGAAACUGCAUAGAACAAGGUUUAUUAUAACCAAAUAUUUUCAUUUGCUAACUUAAAAAAUUAGCAAAACUUCUCACAAUUAUUCUGACUCUAACUAAUAUUAAUUAAAGAGAAAAUGAAAUCUAUAGAUAAUGAUUAUUAUAAAUUUUUUUAAUAUAAUUUGACGCAUGAAAACGUAAGUAGUAGAGUAAAUGACAUAAUAUAGGUUAAUUCUAUGAGUUUUUUUCUAAAUGUUUUUGUCUUUUCAUGCAAUUUUUCUUUCAUCAAAUACCAAAAGCAAAAGUGUUAGAUUCCACUUUUUUUUCGCUUUUUAGAUGUACUCGAGUGAGAGUUACAAAUACACCUCAAACUUUCAAUAGUAAUAUAAAAGAAUUUUGAACUUUUAAAAAUGUUAAUAUUGGAUCAUCGUCAUACUUAUAAAUAAUUGUAAAAGUUGGACUCACAAAUAAUAAAAAUUGAAUUCAAAAUCGUACAUAAUCAACACCGCAUCCAAUUUUGUUGAUAUAAUUACAAUUAUUACCAUACUUCAAUAAUGUUUUUUUGCAAUUUGCCUAUUAUUAGGUCCAUGUCUAGUAUCCAAUUGUUAUAUAUAUAUAUAUAAAGCAUACAUAAUAUAACUAGAGAUAUAUAUUUUAUUUAUUUCACGAAAUUAAGUCGUGAUUUAUUAUUACAAUAGAAAUUGAGAAUUGGAUGAAAUUUAUCACACCCAAAACCCAACCUCUUGACAUCUUUCACAUUCAUCAAUCAUAAACUUUCUUGAACAUAACCGGAAAUGGCGUAUCGCUCAAAACAAGACCUUUUAUUCCAUUGUUCUCAAAUAUACCAAUAUCUUUGCACAUUACUUUGCAAUUCUUACACACCACUCUUGGACAAUACACCAACUUAGUAACCUUCCCAUAUUGCUCUAUUUUGAACCAGUUUUCCGUAGUCUCUCACCCCGGAUUCUCUUUCGUUCCGCCAAUUGUUACGAAAUAUUGCCUCAAAUAUUGAUCAAAUGUUCCUAAUCUCCACACCGUCGAUUUCACACACCUUGUAGUCGCAUCAAACUCGAUGUUCAAAUCGGUGGAGACUCAAACCACACCCUUUUUAAGGUUUAUUGGUAAAAAUGUAGUGGAAAAACCAUCGGGUUGUUCGUAACACUCCUAGACGACGUUGACACCACAUCUAUCGUAUUCUUUUCGGAUAUUCCCGAUGGCGAAACUUCCACCACCAACACUGCCUUGAAUUGCUGGGAGGAUGUAGUAUUUGUUGCUGAUUCUGAGCUUCUUUCCAUCGGUGUCGAGGACGGGAUCUGGUGACGCAUCAGCUCCGCAGAAGCGUACCUCAGAUGAGGCAAUGACAAUGGCAAUGAAAAGACAAGUGAGUAAUGCAAAAUGCAUAUUUGAUACAUUAAUGUUUUUGACACAAAACAAGUUUUUGACUGAGGGCCAAUAAAAUUUCAAUUAAUUUGCGAUCAAAACAUUUUUGAGUCAAUCAUGUUCGUCAGAUUCCUUAUUAGAGAUAAAUUUUUAAAAGAGAAAAAAAGAAAAGUCAAGCUUUGUUUUUAGAGUACAAAUUAAAAAUCAAAGAUUUGAAAUAAAAGUAUAUAUAUAUAGACGUGAGUUAAACUGAUGUUAAAAUAUAUCAAACUUUUCAAUUUUUGUGCAGCAUAAUUAUAUUAAUAUAUAUGGAUUUUUAUGUAUUAACCCUUUUUAAAGUUUAGGUUCAUUUAAAAUAACUUUUUUCUUAAAAAAAAAGUCGAAGGUCCAAUGUGUUCUGGAAAUUAAAAAUUGUAAAAGUGAAUACUUUAAAAUAAAAAUAAAAUAUUUUUCCUUAUUUCAAAAUAUUUUAGAGACAAACUAAUUGCCUUCAUGUGAUUGCAUUUACUACUCUUUUAGCUUUGCACAUGAUGUAUGUACUUGACUUUUCUUUUUCUCUUUAUUAUAUAUAUAUAUAUAUAUAUAUAUAUAUAUAUAUAUAUAUAUAUAUAUUAAAAAUAAUUAUAAUUGACGGUAAUAUAAUAAAGCAUAUAGUAACAUUUUAAAAAAAAUUGAAAAUAUAACAAAAUCUAUCUGCUAUAAAUUUCUAUUAUCGAUAGACUUUAUCGGUGAUCUAUUAGUCAAGACAAAUUAUUUUAUAUUUACAAAUUUUUUAAAAUGUUGUUAUUUAUUUAGUUAUUUUGAAUCUAAUUCUUUUAUUUGCAAUAAUUUUUGCAGGUUUUAAAUAAGUUAUAUUUUCAUCCAAGAUAAAUUAACAAAAACUCAACUGAUUGAUUAAGAUAUUAUACAAGGUUUUUUUAAAAAAUAAUAAAAAGAUAAAUAUUUACACUCUAUCGAACAAAAAAAAUACUAAAAAGACCAAAAAAAAUCGUUACUCUUGAUUUUUUUAUGAAGUCUAAACAUUUUGUCAAUUUUAGACAUUGGUGGGAUUCUAACGGUGUCCAUCAUAGUAACAUCGUAAGACGUUGAUAAAUCUAAAAUUUUGUUAUAUUUUGUAAAUAUUUUCAACACUUUUGUCAUUUACAAUAAUUCUCUAUUCUUAAUAAAGCUAUAAAUAGUCUUACAUUCUUUAAACAAGGAUAGUGUUAUUUUAAAUUAAGGUUUAAAAUGUUGAUGUCGAAGAAAAUAUCGAGAUCUUAAUUUUAUGAAAAAACUAUAAAUUUAUUGUAAAAAUAUCCAUUACAAUGGAUAGUAUGAAAAUUUAUUAAAAUAAUCCAAUAAACAAUCAAUUUAAAUUAGCCAGAUAAAUAUUUAAGGAUUUCUUAAUAAUAUAUAACUACUAUUUAUAUUAGUGCUAAUUUGAUUAUUAUUUUAUAUUUUUCUACAAUACAAUGACAACAUCAAUUUUUUAUAUAUAUAUUAGUGUGGAAUUCAUAUCAACAUUUUACUGUAUUUUUGUAAAUAACAAAGAUUCAAUUUUUACUAUUUAUAACAAAUUUUCAAUAAAAUAACGAAACUUUUAUUGCAAUAAAGAUGAUUACAACAAUUUAUUUAUUAUUACAUUGGAUAUAGAGAGAGAAAAUUUAGUCAUUAAUUUCCCUCUCAUCAUGACCAUCACUAUCAGCUUCAAAUUCAAACUUUCUUGAACAUAACAGGGAAUGGAGCAUCAUUCAAAGCAAUAACCCUCCUUCCAUUCUUGUAAAAUAAUCCCACAUCUUUGCACACUACUUUGCAAUACUUACAAACUGUUGGACAAUACACCAACUUAUAAUUCUUACCAUACUUCUCCACUUUGAACCAAUUUUCUAUUGUUUCCCGCCCCGGAUUCCCUUUCAUUCCCCCCAUCGUCACAAAAUACUGCUUCAAGUAUUCAUCAAACUUACCUACUUUCCAUACCGUCGAUAUUCCGCACCUCGUGUUCGCCUCGAAUUGGAUGUUCAAAUCUGUAGAAACUCGGACCACACCCUUUUUAGGGUUUAUGGGGGAAAACGUCGCCGGUAGACCGUGUAAAUAAUCGUAUGAUUCCGGGAGGAUGUUGAUGGGACAUUUUUCGUAUCCGUAGAUACCGCCGAUGCUUAAUCCACCACUGUUUCUGCUGUAAACUGAAAGAAUAUAAUAUUGAUCACCGGCUCGAAGCUUCUUUCCGUCGGUGUCGAGGACCGCAUCGGGGGAGGCAUCCGCUCUGCAGAAGCGUACCUCAGAUGAGGCAAUGACAAUGAAAAGAAAACACAGUAAUGCAAAGUUUCUCAUUUCUUUUGGUGAUUUUGUUUCUUAUGUAGAUGAUGAUAUUGGAAUUGAAAAAGAAGUCUAUUUAUAGGAAAUUAUAGAGAAAGAGAGAUUGAAAUUGCUCACUGUAUUGUUUCUCAUUGUAUUGCUUUCCCGGCGGGCGCCA